rnacentral:tRNA from 1 species
GGAGGAAUGGUCGAGUGGUUAAAGGCAGCAGGCUGUAAACCUGCCGACGGUGUCGUCUACGUAGGUUCGAAUCCUACUUCCUCCA